GAUGAACGCUGGCGGCGUGCUUAACACAUGCAAGUCGAACGGUGAAGCAGAGCUUGCUCUGUGGGUCAGUGGCGAACGGGUGAGUAACACGUGAGCAACCUGCCCCUGACUCUGGGAUAAGCGCUGGAAACGGCGUCUAAUACUGGAUAUGAGCUGCGACUCCAUGGUCAGCAGUUGGAAAGAUUUGUCGGUCUGGGAUGGGCUCACGGCCUAUCAGCUUGUUGGUGAGGUAAUGGCUCACCAAGGCGUCGACGGGUAGCCGGCCUGAGAGGGUGACCGGCCACACUGGGACUGAGACACGGCCCAGACUCCUACGGGAGGCAGCAGUGGGGAAUAUUGCACAAUGGGCGAAAGCCUGAUGCAGCAACGCCGCGUGAGGGAUGACGGCCUUCGGGUUGUAAACCUCUUUUAGCAGGGAAGAAGCGAAAGUGACGGUACCUGCAGAAAAAGCGCCGGCUAACUACGUG
rnacentral:rRNA from 1 species